rnacentral:rRNA from 1 species
CAGCCGCCGCGGUAAUACGUAGGUGGCAAGCGUUGUCCGGAAUUAUUGGGCGUAAAGGGCUCGCAGGCGGUUUCUUAAGUCUGAUGUGAAAGCCCCCGGCUCAACCGGGGAGGGUCAUCGGAAACUGGGAAACUUGAGUGCAGAAGAGGAGAGUGGAAUUCCACGUGUAGCGGUGAAAUGCGUAGAGAUGUGGAGGAACACCAGUGGCGAAGGCGACUCUCUGGUCUGUAACUGACGCUGAGGAGCGAAAGCGUGGGGAGCGAACAGGAUUAGAUACCCCGGUAGUCCCUGUCUCUUAUAC